rnacentral:rRNA from 1 species
UACGGGGGGUGCAAGCGUUACUCGGAAUCACUGGGCGUAAAGGAUGCGUAGGCGGCUUAAUAAGUCUCGUGUGAAAUCCCAUGGCUUAACCAUGGAACUGCACGGGAAACUAUUUAGCUAGAGUUCGGAAGAGGCAGAUGGAAUUAGUGGUGUAGGGGUAAAAUCCGUAGAUAUCACUAGGAAUAUCGAUGGCGAAGGCGAUCUGCUGGGACGAUACUGACGCUGAGGCAUGAAAGCGUGGGGAGCAAACAGG